rnacentral:rRNA from 1 species
CCCUUAGAUGUCCUGGGCCGCACGCGCGCUACACUGAUACGUUCAGCGAGUAUAUAACCUUGAUUGGAAAAUCUGGGUAAUCUUUUGAAUGCGUAUCGUGCUAGGGAUAGAUUAUUGCAAUUAUUAAUCUUGAACGAGGAAUUCCUAGUAAACGCAAGUCAUCAGCUUGCAUUGAUUACGUCCCUGCCCUUUGUACACACCGCCUGUCGCACAAACCGAUUGAAUGAUUCGGUGAAAAUUUUGGACAUCGAGAGUGGUGAUUAAUUUCGCUGCUCUUAAAUGGAAAGAAUUUAAACCUAAUUAUUUAGAGGAUUGUGAAGUCAUAACA